rnacentral:rRNA from 1 species
UAAAUAUAACCAUGAGANCGAUAGUAAACAAGUACCGUGAGGGAAAGUUGAAAAGAACUCUGAAUAGAGAGUUAAAUAGUACGUGAAACUGCUUAGAGGUUAAGCCCGAUGAACCUGAAUAUCCAAUAUAGAAAAUUCAUCAUUAUGAUUUUAAUAUUAUUAAUAUUAUAAUAAUGGUGUGCAUUUUUUCUAUAAAGGACAUUGUAAUCUAUUAAUAUAAAUAAUAUUUAUCAUAAGAUCAAUUGCAUAAGUUUAUUCACAUUAGUUUGCUUACAAAUUAACAUAGAAUAAAUGCUUUUGAUUUGAUAAAGUGUUGAUAGAUUUAUUAUAUAUAGUGCUUGAAUAUUUUUUAUAUUCUAUAAUAGCAUAUUAAUUAUACAUUUUUAUGUUUAUUAUAUGCACUUAUAUGAUUAACAAUGCGAAAGAUUCAGGAUACCUUCGGGACCCGUCUU